UAUAACAUAAUAAAACUUUCAACAACGGAUCUCUUGGCUCUCGCAUCGAUGAAGAACGCAGCGAAAUGCGAUAAGUAAUGUGAAUUGCAGAAUUCAGUGAAUCAUCGAAUCUUUGAACGCACCUUGCGCUCCUUGGUAUUCCGAGGAGCAUGCCUGUUUGAGUGUCAUGAAACCCUCAAACCCAAGUUUUGGAUUUCGAUCCAUGCUUGAGUUUGGAUUUGGAUGUUUGCCGGUGAUGAACCGACUCAUCUUAAAAGUAUUAGCUUGGAUCUGUCUAUAUGACUGGUUUGACUUGGCAUAAUAAGUAUUUUGCUGAGGACAUCUUCGGAUGGCCAGGACCUAGACUACUGUCUGCUAACUAAACCAUCACUUUAAGUGCAUCUUUGGAUGUUACUCAUUGUGUAACUUUGACAUCUGGCCUCAAAUCAAGUAGGACUACCCGCUGAACUUAAGCA
rnacentral:rRNA from 1 species